GACGAACGCUGGCGGCGUGCUUAACACAUGCAAGUCGAACGGUGAACCUCUUCGGAGGGGAUCAGUGGCGAACGGGUGAGUAACACGUGGGCAACCUGCCCCCGGCUCUGGGAUAACUCCAAGAAAUUGGGGCUAAUACCGGAUGUUCACCGCUUCCCGCAUGGGUGGUGGUGGAAAGGGUUUCCGGCUGGGGAUGGGCCCGCGGCCUAUCAGCUGGUUGGUGGGGUAGUGGCCUACCAAGGCGACGACGGGUAGCCGGCCUGAGAGGGUGACCGGCCACACUGGGACUGAGACACGGCCCAGACUCCUACGGGAGGCAGCAGUGGGGAAUAUUGCGCAAUGGGCGGAAGCCUGACGCAGCGACGCCGCGUGGGGGAUGACGGCCUUCGGGUUGUAAACCUCUUUCAGCAGGGACGAAGCGCAAGUGACGGUACCUGCAGAAGAAGCACCGGCCAACUACGUG
rnacentral:rRNA from 1 species